UACGGGGGGGCAAGCGUUGUUCGGAAUUACUGGGCGUAAAGCGCACGUAGGCGGCUUUGUAAGUUAGAGGUGAAAGCCCGGGGCUCAACUCCGGAAUUGCCUUUAAGACUGCAUCGCUAGAAUUGUGGAGAGGUAAGUGGAAUUCCGAGUGUAGAGGUGAAAUUCGUAGAUAUUCGGAAGAACACCAGUGGAGAAGGCGACUUACUGGACACAUAUUGACGCUGAGGUGCGAAAGCGUGGGGAGCAAACAGGG
rnacentral:rRNA from 1 species